UGCCAGCAGCCGCGGUAAUACGGAGGGUGCAAGCGUUGUUCGGAAUUACUGGGCGUAAAGCGCGUGUAGGCGGCUUGGCAAGUCGGAUGUGAAAGCCCGAGGCUCAACCUCGGAACUGCAUUCGAAACUGCCAGGCUAGAGUCCCGGAGAGGAUGGUGGAAUUCCCAGUGUAGAGGUGAAAUUCGUAGAUAUUGGGAGGAACACCAGUGGCGAAGGCGGCCAUCUGGACGGUGACUGACGCUGAGACGCGAAAGCGUGGGGAGCAAACAGGAUUAGAUA
rnacentral:rRNA from 1 species